AGGACGAACGCUGGCGGCGUGCUUAACACAUGCAAGUCGAGCGGAAAGGCCCUUCGGGGUACUCGAGCGGCGAACGGGUGAGUAACACGUGAGCAACCUGCCCUUGGCUCUGGGAUAGCCUCCGGAAACGGGGAUUAAUACCGGACAUGACCUUCUCCUGCAUGGGGGGAGGGUAGGUAAAGUUUUUCGGCCGAGGGAGGGGCUCGCGGCCUAUCAGCUUGGUUGGGGGGGUAACGGCCCACCAAGGCGACGACGGGUAG
rnacentral:rRNA from 1 species